CUCUCGGCUACGGGCCGGAAAGGCUUGUCCCUGGUGAGAAGGGAACGAGCCACCCCGGCACGCGGAGGUCAGGGGUGGAGUGGAGGGAGGGCUGGCAAGGGACCCAGGCUGUCCCCGGGGUGCUUUCUUGGGCUCAGUGAAAAUACUUAGAGACCUGGAAAGGAGGUAACCCAGCAAAACUCCAUCGUUGGCGUUGACUUUCUGAUAAGUUAUUGCCAUUUUCCUGUCUUUUUUCUGUUGUGCGUUUGUGUCCCGUCUGUGCUGUGCUGCGAAUCAGACUCGAAAACCCCCAAAUACGCGCCCCGUGCACAGCUCAGCUGGACGCCCGCGCCAGUGACGCGCGCUGGUGCCAGUGCGGGGACUGUGACGUCUUGGCUCCGUCCAGGUUUCUUCCAGAAAACAGGCUCUUGCUGGUGAGUAGCUGGAAUUGUUUCCGUGAUCCCAAAGGAAAAGGGAUCACAGUAUUUUAUGGUUAUUAACCUCCCGUUAUUAAGUUCUCAGUACUCUUGUGCUACUAGCGCUGUGAUUUCUUACUUGGGAAUAUUAAGUGUUGUUCUUACUGAGGACAUAUUUCCCUCUUUACGAGCAUCCUGGAAUCUCAUGCCUUCAGCAGCCGGUGGCGUGUGGGGCUCCCUCCCGAGGAGGAGGGAUGGGCAUCAGGUCCGCAGAGGGGUGAGCGCAGCCCAGAGGCCUUGUUCCCUCCGUGUGGUCCCCAGGGGCAGGGCUGCGGGGUCACCCGGGAGGCGGGGUGCAAGCACAGGGAGCAGGAUGGGGGCAGAAGGAAAGAGAGGGCGGGUGCACGGCGACGUGGGGAGGACCUGCCCACUCCAGGGUCCUGCGGUGUGGGGCCUCCUCCGAGCCUCACCCCUGCCCUCGAGCCCUUCCCACACCUGAGGCCCACGAGAGGUAUCAGGGCGGCAGCUCACGUCUGCAGGAUCCCCGCCUGCGCCAGAGCUGAGGAGCGGCGCUCGCUUGCCUCGCAAGACGCAGGCGUCCCGUGUGGGCGAGUUACCUGCCGCUACUCCUGGCACCGGGCGCCACGUCCGACUCAUUUAAAGGGACAAGCAGGCUGGUGUGAGGCACAGAUCUGGGUCCCCACCGCACCUCCGACGACCCCUGCUGGGGCACACCUGUUACUCUGCGUGGACACCAAGAGUCCAGGGGCCAAGCGGCCGUCAGUGGCUGUUUUGUCCGCCGACCCAGAGGGCGGUUUCCUGGGAGGGUACACGGAGCGUUGUGAGCAGACAGCAAGACUUCUGUAUUUGUCACUGUCACCUGGAGGUGGCGGUUCAGGCUCAAGGUCAGAUGGCAACCCCCGGGCCCCUCCCCACUGCUUGUGCCCACGAGGGGCUCAUUUUUCCCCAAGUCUGCACCAUCCCCCUGAAUGUAUGUGGAAAAAGCUCUGGAAAAGAUAAGAACUCUCCGCGAAUUUCCACCAGCUGACUCAGUUAAUGAUACUGAAGUCAGAAUCUCAGUAGAUAUUAACUCACACUUUAAAAUAUUGUGCAGUUGGGCAGCCUGGGUGGCUCAGCUGUUUAGCGCCGCCUUUAGCCCAGGUCGUGACCCCGGGGUCCCGGGAUCGGGUCCCACGUCGGGCUCCCUGCAUGGAGCCUGCUUCUCCCUCUGCCUGUGUCUCUGCUGCACCCUCCCUCUCUGUGUGUGUGUCUCUUGUGAAUAAAUAAAUAAAAUCUUCAAAAAAUAUUGUGCA
rnacentral:lncRNA from 12 species